rnacentral:rRNA from 1 species
CGGGACGGGUGAGUAACGCGUGGGCAACCUGCCCGUGGCCGGGGGAUACCGCCUGGAAACAGGCGCUAAUACCGCAUAAGCGCAUACAGCCGCAUGGCAGUAUGCGGAAAGCUCCGGCGGCACGGGAUGGGCCCGCGCCCGAUUAGCCAGUUGGCGGGGUAACGGCCCACCAAAGCGACGAUCGGUAGCCGGCCUGAGAGGGCGGACGGCCACAUUGGGACUGAGACACGGCCCAAACUCCUACGGGAGGCAGCAG